rnacentral:rRNA from 1 species
AGUGAACGCUGGCGGUAGGCCUAACACAUGCAAGUCGAACGGCAGCACAGGAGAGCUUGCUCUCUGGGUGGCGAGUGGCGGACGGGUGAGGAAUACAUCGGAAUCUGCCCAGUCGUGGGGGAUAACGUAGGGAAACUUACGCUAAUACCGCAUACGACCUUCGGGUGAAAGAGGGGGAUCGCAAGACCUCUCGCGAUUGGAUGAGCCGAGGUCGGAUUAGCUAGUUGGCGGGGUCAUGGCCCACCAAGGCGACGAUCCGUAACUGGUCUGAGAGGAUGGUCAGGCACAAGGGAACUGAGACACGGGCCAGACUCCUACGGGAGGCAGGAGGGGGGAAUAUUUGACAAUGGGCGAAAGCCUGAUCCAGCCAUGCCGGGGGUGUGAAGAAGGUCUUCGGAUUGUAAAGCACUUUUUGUUGGGAAGAAAGGCAUUAAGGUAAUACCCUGCGGUGUUGACGUUACCAAAAGAAUAAGCCCCGGCUAACUUCGUG